rnacentral:lncRNA from 1 species
CCCCUCUAAAAAGUUUUACAAAUCUUGAUGCAAAUUAAAUGUGAAGAUUGAAAGAUACCCGUUCGCUUAAAAAUGACAAUAUGGUCUUUUUUUUUAAAAGCAAAAUAUGUUUUUUUUUUGUCUAGCUUGUUGUCUACUCUAUUUUGUUCGGUUUGCCCUGAGAUCUAAUCACAUGAUAUAAAUCUCAACAAAUCAAGAUCGGCACAUAACCUUUUUUUACAAUAUAUACGACUGUCCAUCAACCUUCGGUGCUACUGCUAUUUGUGUGUCCUAAAUAUAAAGAGAACCACGGCAAAUUCUUUCUCCUUCCAUCCCCACCUCGUUCGUAUAUCUAGUAAUAACUCUUUUUGAGGACCUGUCUUAGCUCUAGAGAGUUCAAGUAAGCUCUGAUGCAUGUGUUACGUUUGGAUCGAUUUAUACAAGGACAAAGUUCCGGUGUUAUGUUCAACACAUAGCUCUUUGAUUGUUCGCCCGUACAAUGCAAACCAUGCUCCACGCGGAAAUCGGAAUUGAGAAAAGAAGGGUGCGUCUAGCCAGCUGAUCAACUGACCAAUACCAUAGUGAAUUGGCUGCUGGUGGUGAUUCGUUAGGAUGUAAUAAGCCGUAGUCCCGGGAUAUCACGUCGUGAAAUCACAGCCGGCCAUCACGGCGUUGUGCACCACGUGGCAA